UGGGGAAUAUUGGACAAUGGGGGCAACCCUGAUCCAGCAAUGCCGCGUGUGUGAAGAAGGCCUGCGGGUUGUAAAGCACUUUCAGCAGGGAAGAAAAGCUCGGGGUUAAUACCCCCGGGUCUUGACGUUACCUGAAGAAGAAGCACCGGCUAACUCCGUGCCAGCAGCCGCGGUAAUACGGAGGGUGCGAGCGUUAAUCGGAAUUACUGGGCGUAAAGCGCACGUAGGCGGUCGGAUAAGUCGGAUGUGAAAGCCCUGGGCUUAACCUGGGAACUGCAUUCGAUACUGUCUGGCUAGAGUAUGGGAGAGGGAAGCGGAAUUUCCGGUGUAGCGGUGAAAUGCGUAGAUAUCGGAAGGAACACCAAUGGCGAAGGCAGCUUCCUGGCCCAAUACUGACGCU
rnacentral:rRNA from 1 species